GUACACAACCUUCCUUUAAGUGGGGGAUAGCCCAGGGAAACUUGGAUUAAUACCCCGUAAUAUAUAGAUGUGGUAUCACAUUUAUAUUAAAGCUCAGGCGCUUAGAGAUGGGUGUGCGGCUGAUUAGGUAGUUGGCAGGGUAACGGCCUACCAAGCCUACGAUCAGUAACUGGUGUGAGAGCACGACCAGUCACACGGGCACUGAGACACGGGCCCGACUCCUACGGGAGGCAGCAGUAAGGAAUAUUGGGCAAUGGACGCAAGUCUGACCCAGCCAUGCCGCGUGGAGGAUGAAGGUCCUCUGGAUUGUAAACUUCUUUUAUCUGGGAAGAAACCUAUGGUUUCUACUAUAGUUGACGGUACCAGAUGAAUAAGCACCGGCUAACUCCGUGCCAGCAGCCGCGGUAAUACGGAGGGUGC
rnacentral:rRNA from 1 species